rnacentral:lncRNA from 1 species
CCCAGGCCGGCGGGACCCGCGGGCGGCCGCCCCCAGCGGCGAGAGGGGCGCACCUGCGGGGCCGGCGGCGUUCCCCUCCCCUGCCGGGGGCACUUGAAGGCAAAGAGCUUAAAAUGUUCCCUUCCCCAGCGCCACAGGUAUAGUGGCAAACACCGCGGAGAGAGAAGCGGGGGAGACUGACUUGGCACUGCCGGUGCAGAGAGGAGAUCAGUGCGCGACUGAUUAUCGUAGUUGUCUUGUUCUUGACAUAUUAGGACACAUGAGAGAGAAGGCCUAGGAGCAGCAGCAGCAGCAGUGAUUGAUGAAGUGACAUGGAGAUGAUCACCCAGCAGUGGAAGGAGUUGUGUCUACGAUUUCAAACUGAGGGACACAUCUUCCUCAGGGGAGGUGCAUUAGGUCUGUUAGCAACUUCAGAGUUGUAAGAUGGAAGAGGCAACAGGAAGGCUCAAAUACGUGGAGAAACCUUACACCUAACAAGAAGAUACAAAAAAGAGUGUGGUAUGUGGAGGACUGGCUGUACAGAAGUCCUGGCAUCAGAAAAGAGGACAGGGUUAAAGAGGGUAGGGGAGACCUUUCACAUGGCAAUAUGGCAAAUGGAAACGUGAGACAACAGAGCUGUUCUGGAGGAGGGUGA